GGUGUGUGAGAGUGUGUGCGUCUGUGAGUAUGAAUGAGGUGAUGUUCUCUUUCAUGCACACACACACACACUGUUCACACACA